GACUUUUCACAAUAUUCUUUAUUGCCCACAGACUCACAUUGACAGUCAUGUAACAUCAGACUACUUAGAGAACAGUUUCUCUCCCCCUUGACCCACAGUUAUUCUGCACUGGUAAGGAGCCUUUCACAGAAAUGUAACAAGGUGUACAGUAUAGAAAACUUCUAAUUAAAUUACCAAGUCCAUGCUUUUAAAUGGUAUCUACGAGUGCAAAACCUCAACACCCAAAUGUUUUUAGUAUCUAAUUCAAAUAUCAAAGGGUUUGCUACAUACUCAGAAAUGCACACACCACUAUUCUGAAAAUGAAGGCACAUUUUCCGAUAACCAGUGAUAAGGAGAAGUGCAGCAUUGCCUAAGUGAGCGUGACAACCCUGCUCCUGGGCCACUGUGAUGGCGCAUAGGACGCCAUCCAAUGUGUGGCGCCCCCAGCUGGCUGCCCUAGAAGCACAGGGAUGUGCCUGGUGGGACACCAGGGCUCACGAUUGGAAACCACAUCAUUUACUGAAGAGUGAAGUGGAUUCAUCGACGGCGAGGAGGGAACUUAAGCCAAUUCUCUUUACCCCUUGUGUUGGCAACGCUCCCAAAUGUUGGCCACACAAUUUAGGUUUUAUUAUUUUUCCUGUGACAGAGAUUAGAAAACUUGACAUUGGUUUUGUAUUUCCACUCCUCCAGAAAGUCCAAAUGCCAGUUCUGUUCCUGCAUCAACAUGGAAAGUAGUUAAUUGGUAAUAAACCCAGACAGAGACUUUUACAUUCUUUUUUGUUUCACAAAAGUUAGUGGAAAACAAAACAGAACAAAAUUUUUCAAAUAUUUAUCAAUAUGUAUAAUUUGCCAUCCAAAUGCUUUUUAGAAAGUUGUAUCUCAUUAUUACACAUCAAAUUUACACGGAGUUCUCUCCUAAUCCUUGAAUUUAAACAUCAAAUUUUCAUUCUUAUUUAAUUCUGGAUACAAAGAAACAUUCAUGUACUUCAUUUUACAAUAUUUAUUCUGGAACAAGUGAUACUCAAAAGUCAAAAGAACAGAGAACAUUCCACUUGCAACCAACACAUAGUUGUUACCAAAAAAGUUAAUUCAGUGUUCAAAAAUGGAUGUGCCCGUGGAUUUCUGCUUUAACUGUCGCUUGAGUCAUUGGAUAGAAACUUUGGUUGUGAUAAAUAUUUCCCAGACGUGUAUGAAUUCGUCACCUCAAACACCCAAUGCCACGACAUGUUUCCCCCGUGUGCCUAUUUUUCUGUCUACAACAUUUCAAAGUGAAACAGCAAAGGAGAAACUUGUAUGAGAUUUCACCUCCAGAGCUUUCUCAACGAGAAUGGCUCUUCCACCUCUCAGGAGGGAGCCACGUGUCUGGGCCUAAGGGAGUCAUUGUUGUGGGCAUCUGCCGAUGCUGGAAGGAGGUGAGAAUGAGAAGGGACCCGCCUCAGCUCCGCCUCCAGCAUCCUCCCUAACGCCAAUCACUGUUCAGGCACAUGCGCACGAGGGAGGCCCCGCCCUCUCCUGGGCGGUCCAUGCCUUGCCUGCUUGUCCUCACCCUCCCCAUGCCAACUGCCCCCCGGUUUGCAAAACCUUCAGAUUCCCUUAGACCCACCCAGGAGCUCUGCCCUCCAGGGUCCUAUUGAAUUUGGUCCUACCAGCCAUCAGACUUGUCACCUUCCACACCGUGUGUGUGUGUCUGUGUUCAUUUCCUAUUGGGUUAUAACCUUGGGCAGGCAGAACAUUUGCACACGCACAGGAGCCCUGCACAGUGCCUGCCUCACGUGAACUAACCUAAGACGAGGCCAAGAGAAGGCUGGGCAGAAAAGCCAACAAGCCAUGUGGAAGACAACACUGGGCCCCCAGCACACCUGCAGCGGCAUCCGCCCCCCGCCCCCAUACCUGCCCUGCUUCUUUAUACAUUGCUGGAUACACACAGGACGUAGGUCCAGACUUGCUGCCCCCAUCCCCACUCCCGCUUCUUCUUCCUUUUUCCACCCCUGUCUUCCCAAACUCUCCUUUCCUGUCUUCCCCCACUAGCUUCUGUUCCCUUGUGUCCCUUUGUCACUUCCCACAGUGGCUCCCCUCGUGUCUUGUUCCUGCAGCAUCCAGGACCCUCCUCCCUGUGUCUGAGGAUGGCAGGACAUGUCAGUCUCCAAACUCUCAGCAUUAAUAACUUUCUAGUUAUCCUUGUUAGUUAAAAAACUAAAAUCCAGGGAGGAAUCCUGGGGUGCAAAUCGCCCAGGCAACCCACCUGUGCACACACGGACAGAGAUGCGCAGCUGUUGUAAUCAGCAUAGGUAUAUGCAUGUGUAUAUACGUAUAUACAUACAGAGACGCACAGCCAUCGUAGUCAGUAGGUAUAUGUGUGUGUGAGUGUGUAUAUACAUGUGCGGUUGAUAUUCACAAGUCCUGGUAUAAAGUUGCAAUUUUUCUGGCUGCUAUAAAAUGUGCCAGUUUCAAAACUGUGUGUUUGUUUCUUGCAAACUUAUAAAUAUGUAUAAACCCCAUUAUAAAUAAAUUGUGGCUGGCAGAUGGCAUUUUAUCUGCCAGCAAUGAUUGCAUGGAGUUAUAAAUGCUUAUUAAUCCUCCCCUUUUAAACCCACAGCACAGACCCCAGGAUCUACGACAUGAAGUGGCAUGAAAACAUCAUCAUAAGUUAGAGAAGGAAAGCCCUCAAGGAGAGAGAUGGGUGAGAGCUAACAAUUCACACCUGAUGAUGGUUCUCAAGGGCUAGAUGCUCCUACCAGCAUCACCUGAAAUGUAUUAGAAAUGCAAAUUGUCUGGCCCCAUCCAGACCUCUUGAGUCUGGAACUCUAGGGAGGGCCCCCAAUGGCUCUGAUGCCUGCCUUUCACCCCAAGUCUGCUCAGGAAGGUCUGUCUCUCUGCCUGAGAACUUCCUGGCUUGGUAUGCAUAGGGCCAUCUGGGACACUGUGGCUGGAACCAGCCUUCCACCAGUGCUGGGCUGGGUGGAUAAAUGUCCAGCUCUCAACUGGCACCAGUGGGUUAGCUCUUGAGGCGUGUCCAGCCCUGCCUCCCCUGGUGACCUACCUGAUCAGACCUUCCUCGUCAGCUUCCUUCCCUUCCCCACCCCUGGGUCAUACCCAGAAGAUCCAGAUGCACUCAGAGUGCCUCUCAGGGUCUGCUUCUGAGGGACCUCAAACUAAACAAAGGCAUAGAAACAUUUCCUUGUCCAUGUAAACGACUCACACCUUUAUGCAUUUGGGAAAAAAUACGGAACAUAUAUGUAAACUCAAAGAGGGAAGUCUUACCUGCCAUUUCCCAUCAGGGGCUGAGCUUUAUGUACAAGCCCGAAAGGACCCUAAUAAGUCCGGCACUCUAUCCUGGAUUCAGCCAGUGACAGUCGCAACCCUCAGGCAAGUCAAUUGGCUCUAGUUUCCUCAUCGAAAAAGGGGUCCCUCCAGCUGUAGGAUCCCAAGACGCCCCCUUACUGCUGUCCUCUGGGGAGCAGGGUCAGCUCCAGGUUUACAGCAUGUGCCCCUAAAGUAGUUUUUCCGCUUCUUUCUCAGGACCAACUUAAACUUUCACUGCAGAGCCUGAGAGGACUAUUAUUAUUUUUGUGUGUGUCUUUUUGUCUUUUUAGAGCCGAACCCGCAGCAUAUUGAGCUUCCCAGGCUAGGGGUCUAAUCAGAGCUGUUGCUGCCAGCCUACGCCAGAGCCACAGAAACGCCAGAUCUGAGCCGCAUCUAUGACCUACACCACAGCUCACAGCAACACCAGAUCCUUAACCCACUGAGCAAGGCCAGGGAUCGAACCCUCAAUCUCAUGGUUCCUAGUCGGAUUCAUUUCCACUGCACCAUGAAGGGAACUCCUGAAAGUAUUAUUCUGACACCCAAGGCCAAGAUUUGUCUGUGUCCUGCAGUUACGUCUUUGCAAUCUUUCCACAAUCUCCUUCUCAUUUCCAACCAGGCUGUCACCAUUCACGGAAAGACAUUUAUGGAUGGUCCCCUAUGCGCUCAGCCAACGAGAGAGCAUAGACACUUUUGUGAGUGAAGCAGCCAGGAAACUCCUGUCCCUGGUGCUUAACCAUAGUCACAACCCGCCCCCGCCCAACGCCCUCUCAGGAAGGGAGUGCCCAGUCCUGCGGUGCAGGGGGUGAGCCAGGGCUCAGAGAAACCCGGCAACUAGCUUGAGACCACGUGGCUCUGUGCAUGUGGAAGCCCAGGUGAGCUGCCCCCGGGGAGCCUGGCAGCCAAGGAAACGUGGGACUGGCCUUCACAAGGUGACCCAUUCAGGGAAAUAAAGACCCAGACAUUCGUUUAAAGUGUUGCUUAUAUAAAGGAGCCACCCAGCAUCUGAUGCCACCUGAAAGGGGAGCUCCAUUGCAGGAAGGGGGCAUCUUCAAGAUGCCAGGCUGGACCAGGAGACAUGAGUCGAUGCUGUCCCCGAGCACGGGACCCUUUUGGGGUUCAUACGAAGUGCUAACUCCAUCUACCCCUCCCCCAGGCCUGCCUUCCCUUCAAGCAGGCCUUUCCCUUUGCACAUGGCUUGUCACUUUCUGUCCUCAUUGGAAAUGAUUGGUGCCACCCUCUGCCUUCGGGACACCCCCAGCUGGGCCUCUGUCCAUGGACCCCAACAGCCCAGAUGGCCUGAAACAGAAGUGUUGCUCAAGUGAAACACAGGUUAAAGCCAGGCAGGCUCCUGAUCCUCCGGCUUCUCAAAUAUAAAAGGCCUGGAAGUGGUAGCUUAAGCAUAGGAUCUAGAUGGAAGUUAUGCGAAUGCACGUCUGGCUUCUACUCUGAACUGUCAGGCAGGGUCUCCUCAGUAGUCAGGCAUCAAAACUGACUGAAACCAGUGAGGAGCACCCCUCAGGAAGCCCCGCAGGCUCUCAGUGGACAAGAAUGUCCUUGGAAAGCGCAGCUAAUUCCCACAGGACGGUGUGGGUGGGAAGGGACACUGAGGGGAGGGGUGUCUCAAGGGCCGCUUAGCAAGAAGGGCCAUUUUAGGACGGCUGGACCCCCCUUGAUCUCCCAGCAGACACAGAGACCUGGGUCAAAGUGGCAAAGGGCCCAUGAGAGGAGCAGCAGGUCCUGGCAUCCUCGCGGGCUCAUGCUGGCCCGGUGCUCAGUGACCUCGCCCUGGGAGUCGGAGGCUUGGAGUGCACAGCAGCCUGGGUCUGCGUGGAGUUUGCCUCUGGGUCCUGAACUCCCGUGCAGCAGAGCUCAGGAAGCACUGAGUGAGCGGCACAUCUCUGCUGCCCGCCACCUGCGUGGCCUUGAGCAAGGUGGGCACCACCUGAGCCUCAGUUUCCCCAUCUAUAAGUGAGGUUCCAAGAUGCCCAGCGCACGGUGCUUGAAGAAGAGAUGGGAUGACCCAGGUGAGCUCUUACAUGCUUUACAAAUGGGAGAAAACAAAGACUAGGAAAUCACGGCCAUCUGCUCAGUUCUCAAAUCUGCUCCAAGGGCUACAAAGCAGUGCCAGUUCACCCCACUAGUGCUGUUCUGUGGGAGGCGACUUUGUCAUCGGAGCUUCAAAAUACUAUUUUGAAUUAAUAUUGAAACAGAAUUCGAUCCCCAUUCCUUUUAAUGUUAUAAAUUGAUUCUCAU
rnacentral:lncRNA from 1 species